GUCAUUUAUCAAUUUUCAGAUUUUUCUUCGCGAAAUAUAAUAUUUUUCUAAUAAAAUAAAGACGUCCAUGAUAUAAAUAGUUUAUAUUAUAACUAAACACAAUUCUCAAAUAAAAAAAGCUUUGGUCAUUUUGCAAAAAGAUACUUAUUGUUUAUAGAAAAUUGCUGUUGUUUUUACAUGAUAAAGUAUUUUUAUUAAAUGCUUUUUAUUGUAGUAUCAUUUGUUAUAAUUUUUCACAUUUGAAGCUAGAAAAAAUUCAUUCUCUGUGGAUAUCUUGUUCACCAAAUACUUCAUGUAAAUUAUAGUAUUUAUUAUUUCUUUUCCCCUAUACUCUUUAUAAACUUACAUUUCAAAGUAAAUAUUAUUAAACCUACCAUUUUCAUACUUCUCUUAAAACAAGUACUUAUUAAGGUAUAGAUUUUGACUGCAUUUUAUAAUUCAAAAAAGAUAUUCUUCUGAAAAAAUCGUAGACAAGACCUUGUAUUAAUUUAAAUUAAAUAAAACGACGAAUAGUAAAAUGCCUUAAAACCUUUAAACAUUUUGAACAGGAAUUCUAAACAAUUUUCUGCCUACAUAUUCAAAAUUAAUCCCGUUUAUGUUUAUUAGUCAUUUUUCAUUGCUAGGUUUCAAGAUACAGAACUUAGUGUUUCAAAACUAAUAAAGAAACUUUCUUUAAACGAAAACAUUCAACACGGAAAUUUUACGCGUUGCGUUUAAAAAAUGAAAAUUUACAAUAUAUUUCAUUAACAAUACAUGAAUAUAAAGUCUAAAUACGUCAUCAAAGAAAUUUUUAAGUAAUAAAAACAAACUUUGAUUCAACUUUUUAUAGAAGAAACUCUAAAUUAAUUUCCUUUGGGGAUAAUUGGCAGAUAUAGCAAAUGUCGGGUAAUGUUACGCCAACUUCUUGGGGAGAUAGAGCCGCAUCAUUAGGAUUAAAAUUGCAUAGGAAACCAUGUCCGGAAAAGUCAUCGUACGCGGUUAUGGGCGUUUUCCUAUCAUGAAAUGUUUCUUUUUCCGCUUAUAAGCAGGUCAUAAUAAGGCUAUGCCUCAGACGCGUAUGAUAAUAGUUCCGCGCAACAUUUCCUAUGGAAGUUUAAUACUGGUGAUGUGCUCCUUUAGAAGUUUGUCGCAAUAAUUACGCGACAUUAUUUUUAGCGUUUUCAAUCUUGCACAUUUCGCCAAAAAUAGUAGCUUCAGUAGCAAAACAAAUUUCAGAUUUGAAAUCCCCACACCCAAAUAAGGCAAUAUCAAGAAUUCGUAUAAGUGCAGCAAAAACUUGUACCCAGUAUAAUUACUUUUACUUCAAUCCGAAGAUUUUUGUGAAUAAAACACAUUUCAACCAAAAGUACAUCUACUCAAAGCAAUUUGAUUCUGAAGAUGUGUAUUUUAAAUUACUUCUACGGUUCUUUACUGGUCUGUUAUUUUACAGUUUAAUAAAGGGGUAUAAGCAACAAUAGAUUUACAAUAGUAUAGCAAAAUUUACAAUAUAUAUAAUUGAUUAUAAAAAAACCUAUUUAAUUUAAUUAUACAUUCAAGUGGCAUGUUAAAAAUUUACAAUAAUGGGUCUAAAUUUACACUAAUAACUAAUUACAAUAGAAUAACUACAUUUACGAUAGUGAAAAUAAAUUUCCAGUUGUACUUAAGGUACUCAAAUAAAUUUCCAGUUGUACUUAAGGUACUCAAAUAAAUUUCCAGUCUAACUAAAGAUACUGAAACCCGAAUUGCAAUAAUUAUUGAUAAUUAAUGAGUCACUAAUUUUUUAAUGAAAAAAAUUGCCAAGCAAAAUAGCUUGAUUCUGAAAAUUUAUAGCAUUGCUUGAAAUUUCAAACAUGCUGAUACAGAGAUUAAUGACCAUAACUGUGAAAACUUCUGCCCCACUUACAUUAAUAGUCGAGGUAAUUGGUCAAGGCCCACUGAGCCAUUCAUCUGGCACUGGUACCAAUCUAAGUAACAUCAGGCAGCUACUUGACUUGGCCGCCUGCGUUCUAUUAAGCCCGUAGAUUCAAAGGCUUUGAAAAUAUGAAUAAACCGACCUUUUUAAAUUUUUAGCUCUAAGUAUUGCUUAAUUUUUUAAUAGUGUGAAACAAAAUUUCUUCAGAAUUAUAUCGAGUCCUAUCAGCCAUUCAUUAUAUUUCUUCUUUCAAAUAAAACUUUUACUGAUACAUUAAACUAUUCAAACAUCUUCAUUAAAAUUUAUUCACAAAUAUUUGAGUAAAUGAACAAUGAAUGAAUGAAUAAUUUAAGACAAUUAUUAGCUGCAUUAUGAAAAUUUGUGUUUAUUUUUUAUAGUUAAGACACAAUAAAAUAAUAUUUCCUUUGAAAUGUAUAACUAUCUGUAAUUUAAGUUUUGUAUGAUUGGAAAAUUAUGUACAAUCCAUGAGAAAGUAUAUUUUUCCUCCUGCUAUUUUUCUGCCUCAAGUAAACCUGUAAAUGUUGUACGUGGUUGUUCUCAAUAAACAACAAAACCUGGCUUCGGUCUGGACAACA